GAAUUCUACAAGGGAAGCCAAGGCAGUUCAAAGUGGUAUGAUCAUGCUUUAAAUGUAUAGUGCAGAUAGGGUCUCUGAGGCAUACUGCUCCAGGAUGCCCUAUCUUUGAUCAAAGAGUUUCAUAUCAGGAAUACAAAUGUUAUUAGAGCAAUAGAGGAGAGAGCCCAAGGCCGCAAAGCAAAGCCUGGCUUACAAAUCAUGUUAUGUAACAAAAGAAAUUCCUCUAGUCUACAAGCUCCCUAAAUGAAGAUUGCCCCAGAUUUCCAGCAGUGACGUUGCUGCCUUCAGAUCUAUGACUGGUAUCUUCUUAUUGGCAGGAGAGGGGAUUGCCAACUGACCAGAAAAUGAUCGGCCAGGCCUGCUCUGCCUUUCACAACAGUUGGCUCUGCAGAAACGAGCAAGCAAAGUUUUCCAUGCCAAAGAGAAAGAAGCAUUCACCACCUGUUAACUUCUACAGAUCAAGGUGAUUUCAGAGACGUAGGAGCGGGGAAAAGUAAAAUAGUAAAAAUGUUGGAAACUGUUA